CAGGGAAUCUUGCACAAUGGGCGAAAGCCUGAUGCAGCGACGCCGCGUGGGGGAUGAAGGCCUUAGGGUCGUAAACCCCUUUCAGCAGGGACGAAAAUGACGGUACCUGCAGAAGAAGCCCCGGCCAACUACGUGCCAGCAGCCGCGGUAAGACGUAGGGGGCGAGCGUUGUCCGGAUUUAUUGGGCGUAAAGAGCUCGUAGGCGGCUCAGUGAGUCGGAUGUGAAAACUCGGGGCUCAACCCCGAGACGCCAUCCGAUACUGCUGUGGCUUGAAUCUGGUAGGGGAGAUCGGAAUUCCUGGUGUAGCGGUGAAAUGCGCAGAUAUCAGGAGGAACACCGGUGGCGAAGGCGGAUCUCUGGGCCAGUAUUGACGCUGAGGAGCGAAAGCGUGGGUAGCAAACAGGAUUAGAUACCCCCGUAGUCCCUGAGCGGGCUGGCAAGGCGCAU
rnacentral:rRNA from 1 species